ACUGAAAUGACCAACCAUAGUUACACAACAGAGACACAACCAAAAUUGUAACUCCAUCAUAGUGUAUGCGUUAUUGCUUAACAGUAUAACGUAAGAAACUUGAUUCAACUUAGAUUUGAGCAUACUAUAUUUUGAUGAUCAGUUUUCCUACAUGAAAAAAGAAUCCCUUCCUACAAUGAGAAAUGAGGAAAUGCGUAUUCUCUGGCAUGUACUAAUUCUGUGGUUUAGAUUAAUUAACUUCGUACAAAAAGGUUAAUUUUUACUUUUGUAGGCCACCUUAAAAGAUUACAUAUCUGAACACAUAAACACUUCAGAAUUGUAAUCCGGAGUUUUAUCACAGCUACUUUCAAUAAGCUUUUGAUGUUCCCAUACACUUAUGUUGCAGGUACAAACUGUUCCUGUGGAAGGCAGAAUAUCGCUUCCCGAUCAUUCUCAAUCAUUUUACUUGCUUGCCUGUUCAAACUGCAAUCACUAUGUACGUCCUAAAAUAAAAAAUGGUCCACUGCUUCAACUAUAAACUACACAGGCCAUUGGUCCCCAAGUAACUACAAACUUUACUGCAGCUCAGUUUCUUAAAAUUGAGUUCAUUCACUGUCGAAGAAUUCAUAAAUUUAGGGAAUUGUUUGAAAUGAUAUUACAUUUGGAACUAAAAGUAUUUGCAAAUUUGAUGAAUGAGAGAGAGCAGUUCAAGUUGAAAUGAGGUUUCACACUAUAUAACAGGUAUUAGAAAAACCUACAUUUGAGAAACUGUAUUUGGGAUUCGAUAGAAAUUCAUCCAUGAUUUCUUUGUUCUCAGUUGCUAUAUUUUACAUUUUAUACUACUAUGGACACUGUCACCCAAAGCAUUGUGCCCUUUGUUUCGUAAAAUGAACAUAACCUUGGUUGUUCUUAAAAGCUCUGUUCUGUCUCCAUCCAGGUGUGCCUAUAGCAAAUUGCGUUUCAACCUAGCUAUUGAGUCACAAUGAGUUAAUUUGCUCGAAAACAGUCAACUGGGACAAGCUUAUCCGUGUGUUUCACCAAGAUGUUUUUAUGACAUAGGCGGGGUGGAAAUGUUUGUUUAGUCUGCAUAGAGCAUGCUCUCAUGAAGUAUAAGGACAUGCCUAUAUGUUCUGUAAUUUACAGCUUCUGCCAAUUAAAACUAACAGUGAUUUGUGUCGGGUUCAUAUCACUAAUGAUACAACAAAACCUGUCUGCAUGAUGUUGUUUUGUUCUUUACAUGUUCACAUGCUAUUACUCCACAGUGAAAUAGAUUCAUCCUGUACAUUUGCCUCCACACCUGAAACUUUGAUUUUGCAGCUUUGUCUCUUUCCUUUCAGGUGCCACUUCAACAUUGACUUCACAGAUUCCAACGUGACAAUUACAGCAACAGUGUCAGAAGCUUUAGCAGAAAGAAUACUGUCCCUAACUGUCGACCAAAUAUAUGACAAAGUUGUUGUCCAGGUAUAAAAAUACAUAUUAUUACCUACGGCGAAACUCCUCUUACAAUUUCAUUCUACCAGUAACUCCUAUUUAAUGUACUAUCUUUUACCUUUUCCACUUAGAAACAACCACUGUCUAUUGCCGGUAUAAAUCGCCAACUUGAUCGUGAACUGUUUAAACUGCAAUUACAAAAGUCAGCUUUCAGAUUUCCAGACCAAAAACCAGAUGCGCUAGCUAUUGCGUCAUUCACUAAAACAGAACAAACAGGUAAGAGGAAGAAAAUUGAACCAUCCACACCCGCGAAAAAGGAUUGAAAGUAACAAUACUUUGAUAUUUCAUCUGCUACCAUACUCUAUUUCCUGUGUACCGGAGCUAUGACAAUUACUCAAACAUUUAUUAUGAAUUCAUUAUCUUACCAUUUCAGCAUUACUAAUAACAAAUAAGCAGGUCUAGCUUACACUGAAAUAUACAAUAUCUACUCAACACAAUCAUGUAAAUAGAAUAAUCAUAUGCCCCUUUACUGCACCACCAGGAAAAACUAUUUACUUUUGGUGUUUCCAGAGGUUUACCUUGUAUUAGUUUUAGUUACUUUUGGCAUUUCUUUCAUCGGAUACAUAAAUUGGUUUUAAAUUCUGCCUUGCUUUCUUUCAUCAUCUUCUUUAUCUCAGGUGAGUUUCAAUUUAUUACCGCUACAUAUACCUUUGUACUAUUAAUACUUGCAGGUGGUUUAUUGAUAUACUCACAACGCACGUAAGUUGUUUAAUAAAAAUCCUCUUAUCAUAAAACAGUAUGACAAAAAGCUACUUUGUUACUUUUGUUUUUGCUUGUAACUUAAAGACAAUGUACAAUGUAACUAUUCCAGAUUGGUUAAGCGCUAAAAUCUCGAGCAACAUUCUAUUCGGAAAUAAGCUACUUACAUUAACUAUCCAAUAUUUACAUCCUAAAAUAUACUCUUUUAUGUGGACAUUGUAAAAGAAUAAUUACAUCAGAGUGUGGACAUAUUCUUGGAGUAUGUAUUUUCUUGAGUUGUAACUUUUCCCCAAGGUUUUGUGGCGUGAUGCUAACCUAACCUUUCGGAUAAAAAGCUUAUUUGGUUUCUCUUUAACUGUUGAUGUUUAAGUGCUAUAAAGUUUGGGUCUUUCGGAGAAUUUGAUGGCUCAACUUCGGUUUUUACUAAGAAAUUUAGCUUCCUGUCUUUGUUUUUUGCAGGUAUAUGAAGAAGUUAUGGAAUUUAAUUAACCUACAGUACUCUGCAGGUUUGUUAUCAUCUCGGCUCUCUAUAUGUACCUCAAUCUGCAUAUGUUAUGUUUAGGUGCUAGAUUUUCUCUGAAUGAAGCAUCUGUCUUUCGCAAUUAAAAAAGGUUAAAAGGGAAAAAUGUAUUUUUAUCGAUCAUAGGUAGAUAAAGAAUGAAGUUGCUGCUUCAAAGGCUAUGCGCACCUUUCAUAGAUUCUGGUUGUUUGAUAGGCUGCUUAUGGAGAUAUAUAAUAGCUGCACAAUAUUUUACAUUCACUCUGUUGUUACUAAGCUAUUCUCUGUUUCUGUUCUACUCUCCACACAAUAAGCGAUGUCACUAUUUUUCCCUGUAUACCCAGCUUCGGGAUAAUUUCUAUCAAAUAUUAUAGAACGACGGUAAGUAUGUGAUUUUUGCUAAGAAAUGUUUAGGGACUAGACCAGAGAAAAAAUUUAUCAAAGCAUCCAUAAAUACAAAAGGUAAAAUACCAAUUAAUUAUUGUUUAUAAAAGAGAAAUGGUCAUACUAGAAACAUAGUAGAACAUGAAAAAUGAUAAUAAUAUCAACAUAAGUUCUUACACACUUUCUACUGAGUUAAAAUAAUGUUACUAGAGGAAUUGAUAGACCAUUUAAAUAUAGGAUACGUAAAUCCAAAAUAAUGUCCAGCAAAGCAUAUGCUUUAGUACAAUACAAUGGAGGUACAGUGUGUAUGGAUCCUCGUAUAUGCUUUAGUACAGUACAAUGGAGAUACAAUGUGUAUGGAUCCUCUUACAUUCAUGAAGCUAUUCAUGGAUUAAAUACCCUUCUUCAGAUCACUAUUUCACAUGAUUAAUUGUCCUUUCAUAUUUAAUUAUAUGUUAUAUGUCACUGUAUGCAUACUAAUGUUACUGAAGCAUCACUUAUUUUCUCUUCUUCUGCAGUUGUAACUAUAUGGCAACCUUUCUUCUAAUUUUUCUUAGCACUAUCCACUUCAUCAAAUGAUAUAGCAUGUACAGAUGCAUUUUGCUUCCCUAUACCAGCAUCAGCUAGCAGGCUGCCUGAACUAACUUUUUGUCUGUUGAUGUAAACAACAAUCGACAUUUCAAUGUACAACCACUGUUUACCGUGAUUAUAUUGCUACUUUGUGAUACAGCCUUAUAUAAAUUAUCUCCGCUUAUCGUUCACCUCAUCAUUGGGCCUGUGCCUGCAUGGGCUUCUCUGUCUAGUAUAUAGAUAUAUAUAUAUAUAUAUAUAUAUAUAUAUGGGAAAAGGGUCAAAAAUACCCCUCUACUUUAAAAAAUUGGUAAAAUUUACCCCUAGUUAUACUUUAGAGUCAUAUUUACCCCUAGUUAUACUUUAGAGUCAUAUAUACCCCCGCCAUUAUAAAAGUUUGUAUAUAUACCCCUCAACUAACAGAAUAACCCAAAUCCUUCUAAAUGAUCUAUUUUUUAAAAACUCCAAGCCCGACCCGAUCCAUAAAAAAGGACCUAACCAAAUACAUACUGUACGCAUUUUCUCACGUAGCUGACUUCAAAAUUAGGGGCUUUCUCCUUCACUUCUGUGGGUUGAAUUUUCCCAAAAAAAUUACUCCUCUUUCACUAAUCAUCCCCAAUGAAAUGUAGUUGUGAUCAAUUGUUAACCUUUACUAAUCUUUUUAGCAAUAGAAAUUGUUACGAAAUUGUUACUCUUUCCUCCCAAUGAAAUGUCAGUUGUUUUGUCGUUGUCGUUCUGAUUUGGUGAAUUAAUAGUCAAAAGUCUCAUUUUGAAUACUCCAUCUAAUGUUCGAACAAGGUUUUUCAGUCAACUUAUUGUAGAGAUGACGCUUUGAGGCCCUGGGAUCUUCGACAGAAUGGACAAGCUU
rnacentral:lncRNA from 1 species